UGCCCGACGCGCAGCGCGCCGAAGUCCAGAGUCUUGCUCUCGAAGGCGCCCUCGACGCUGCAGAAAAGGCCGCCGCGCUUCUGCCGGGGUACGGCCGCCGUGCCCGGCCGCGCCAGUGGCCAGGAGAUACAGAUCAAGGAGGGGAUUCCAUGACAAGGCUGCCGUCCCGCCCGGCGCAGGAGGAUGCAGAUGGCAGCAUCUGAACGCCUGUCCUUGGGGGCUGCCACAGGACCUGCCAGAACCACAUCAGCCCCACAGCGCAUCUCUCUGGUUUCAUGACUGCAUUCAUUUCCUGACAUAGAACAAGAUUCCCAGGAGUCUGACUGAGCCUUCCUGAUGGUUGUUGAUGAUCAUAUCUUGAAAUAAAAGAAAUAGGAUAAUCUGAUUUGGGGAACAGCAUGUAUUUUAUGGGGAAUUAUGUUUUGUGCUCAAACUUCUAAAUUUAUGUUCAAUUACACUGUCCCUUUCUAGCUGAAGAUGAACUGUUUCUGUUAAGCAGCACUCAGAAAUGGAGAUGAGUCACAGCACAGGGUGAACCAUACUAGUUAUGAAUGGGGGAGCAGUGCAGCCUUCUUGGAAACGUCCUUUAGCCAAAUCCCUCUCCAGAAGGAUUAGUUAAUGCGAUGGGACAUAAUCGCCCUGUCUGGGGUGUGCCUUGUACACCCUGCCUCCUUAUAGAUUUCCUUUGUUGUUACUCAUGUGCUGCAAGAGCACCAGCUGGGUUUCCUGCUAGCACCUGGGCAGGGGAUCACAGGCUUCUGCCCAACAACUGCCCAAUCGCUGAACAGCCAGGGAGAGGCACCACACGUGAUGCAACUUUCACCAGCAUUUUCUCAGUGAGGCUGCCCAUAUAGCAAGAGUUACCUGCUAAGUGUUUAAAAGGGAGUUUAAAUUGUCCACUGAAUCAUUUGAACACCUGAUUCCUGGUUUCCAGAUGCACUACAUGAUGUGAUUCUGUGUGUAGCAAAACCAGAAAGGAAUUAAAAAGAAGUGAGGAAUGUC